UGAAAACAGUCGGACACUGUCGCUGUUGGUGGAAGGAGAACAAGUGGAGAGGGAGACGGAUGGUUCUGGGCCCAUCAUUCCACUUUUCCCACUUUCCUUUUCGUACCGUAUCUACCUCCCCUAGAGAGAUGACAGCGCCAUUGGGACCUAACCAACUUCCUGCAAAACUCGUCCGCACAUCUGUAAACAAGUCUUUUGUUCAGCUCCCGUAAUUGCGGCUGAGUCGGUAACAAAAGAAAUAGGUUGAUGCUUAAUCUAAAUGGACGUGCAUGGAUCAAAAGCGAUUGCAUUUAGCUUGGUUGCUCUUAUUGGCCUUUUUGAACGUGGCCAAAAUGAUGAAAUGGUGCCAUGCGAGAUAUAAUGAGAUCUACCACAAGAACACGGAUGAGUUCAAAAGAUAAUUCUAUCGGAGCGGUGCACGGAAUCAUGCAGUGCGCGUGCCGCAGACAGCAACAACCUUGAUGCAUAUCGGACGAGAUUGAGUUACAGGCUGCCAGCAAACAUCGGGGCACUUCCAGGCGUGUUUCAAAUGGAAAAUAUGAUGAGUAUCGACGUCGAUAGUGCAAGCGCGUUGACGGAUCGGCAGGUUUUCUUGGUCUUGAAAGGAAACUUCAAAAGGCCACCCCUUUUUAUUUCUCGUGACCGCGGUUCGUCUAUUUGAAUGUAGCUUCAAGCCAGCUAGACGUCGCGUUUGCCUGAAAGAUGAACCGCCAUGAAUCAAACCACAUGAAGCUGAUCAAAUAAAACAAUAUUUUUUGGUGGAUUUGGAUAAAUAAAUAACUCAAUUUCCCAACGGCAUGUUUCCGCAAGACAAUGGAGUAUGUAGUUACGUAACAUUGCUGUGAAAAAGUAGGGACGGAAAAAGUAAAAGGGAAACAAACAACGAAAAAUGACGAGGAACAAAAUGAUACAGCAAGUACAAAACGAAGCGUACGGCACGUGUUUCCACCGACGGCAAACAAUAUCAGAUUAUGCCUUAUUCGUACUGGCACCCCCUUCCCCCCAACUAUUCCGGCCGGAAAACAUUAUCGUUGUUGUACAACAAAUCUCGUUAUUUUGAAUCUGAAAGUUCAGUGUUCGCAAAUUCGGUGCUAGUCCCAUCGUACUCCGUCCUAGACUAACGGCUCUGAUAUCCCGGAAUUAGCUACUUCUAAAUAAUAAGAAAUCUUAUUUUCUCAAUUAUCAUCGAUCGGCUAGGGCAUA